rnacentral:rRNA from 1 species
UUAAAUUGAAGAGUUUGAUCAUGGCUCAGAUUGAACGCUGGCGGCAGGCCUAACACAUGCAAGUCGAACGGUAACAGGAAGCAGCUUGCUGCUUCGCUGACGAGUGGCGGACGGGUGAGUAAUGUCUGGGAAACUGCCUGAUGGAGGGGGAUAACUACUGGAAACGGUGGCUAAUACCGCAUAACGUCGCAAGACCAAAGAGGGGGACCUUCGGGCCUCUUGCCAUCAGAUGUGCCCAGAUGGGAUUAGCUAGUUGGUGAGGUAACGGCUCACCAAGGCGACGAUCCCUAGCUGGUCUGAGAGGAUGACCAGCCACACUGGAACUGAGACACGGUCCAGACUCCUACGGGAGGCAGCAGUGGGGAAUAUUGCACAAUGGGCGCAAGCCUGAUGCAGCCAUGCCGCGUGUAUGAAGAAGGCCUUCGGGUUGUAAAGUACUUUCAGCGGGGAGGAAGGUGUUGUGGUUAAUAACCGCAGCAAUUGACGUUACCCGCAGAAGAAGCACCGGCUAACUCCGUGCCAGCAGCCGCGGUAAUACGGAGGGUGCAAGCGUUAAUCGGAAUUACUGGGCGUAAAGCGCACGCAGGCGGUCUGUCAAGUCGGAUGUGAAAUCCCCGGGCUCAACCUGGGAACUGCAUUCGAAACUGGCAGGCUUGAGUCUUGUAGAGGGGGGUAGAAUUCCAGGUGU